rnacentral:rRNA from 1 species
GGUUGGUCCCACGCCUUCCCAUCCCGAACAGGACCGUGAAACGACCUAGCGCCGAUGAUAGUAUGGAUACCCAUGUGAAAGUAGGACACCGCCAGAC